GACGAACGCUGGCGGCGUGCUUAACACAUGCCAGUCGAACGGAAAGGCCCUGCUUUUGUGGGGUGCUCGAGUGGCGAACGGGUGAGUAACACGUGAGUAACCUGCCCUUGACUUUGGGAUAACUUCAGGAAACUGGGGCUAAUACCGGAUAGGAGCUCCUGCUGCAUGGUGGGGGUUGGAAAGUUUCGGCGGUUGGGGAUGGACUCGCGGCUUAUCAGCUUGUUGGUGGGGUAGUGGCUUACCAAGGCUUUGACGGGUAGCCGGCCUGAGAGGGUGACCGGCCACAUUGGGACUGAGAUACGGCCCAGACUCCUGCGGGAGGCAGCAGUGGGGAAUAUUGCACAAUGGGCGGAAGCCUGAUGCAGCAACGCCGCGUGCGGGAUGACGGCCUUCGGGUUGUAAACCGCUUUCGCCUGUGACGAAGCGUGAGUGACGGUAAUGGGUAAAGAAGCACCGGCUAACUACGU
rnacentral:rRNA from 1 species